GACGAACGCUGGCGGCGUGCUUAACACAUGCAAGUCGAACGGAAAGGCCCUGCUUUUGUGGGGUGCUCGAGUGGCGAACGGGUGAGUAACACGUGAGUAACCUGCCCUUGACUUUGGGAUAACUUCAGGAAACUGGGGCUAAUACCGGAUAGGAGCUCCUGCUGCAUGGUGGUGGUUGGAAAGUUUCGGCGGUUGGGGAUGGACUCGCGGCUUAUCAGCUUGUUGGUGGGGUAGGGGCUUACCAAGGCUUUGACGGGUAGCCGGCCUGAGAGGGGGACCGGCCACAUUGGGCCUGAGAUACGGACCAGAAUCCUACGGGAGGCAGCAGUGGGGAGUCUUGCACAAUGGGCGGGAGCCUGAUACAGCAACGCCGCGUGCGGGAUGACGGCCUUCGGGUUGAAAACAGCUUUCGCCUGAGACGAGGCGUGAGUGACGGUAAUGGGUAAAGAAGCACCGGCUAACUACGUG
rnacentral:rRNA from 1 species